UUCUGGCUCAGGAUGAACGCUGGCGGCGUGCCUAACACAUGCAAGUCGAACGAGCGAGAGAUGAAACCUAGUGAUUCUCGAGCGAGUGGCGGACGGGUGAGUAACGCGUGGGUAACCUGCCUUACAGAGGGGGAUAACAGUCUGAAAAGACUGCUAAUACCGCAUAAGCACACAGUACCGCAUGGUACAGGGUGAAAAGAUUUAUCACUGUAAGAUGGACCCGCGUCUGAUUAGCCAGUUGGCAGGGUAACGGCCUACCAAAGCGACGAUCAGUAGCCGACCUGAGAGGGUGAUCGGCCACAUUGGGACUGAGACACGGCCCAAACUCCUACGGGAGGCAGCAGUGGGGGAUAUUGCACAAUGGAGGAAACUCUGAUGCAGCCGACGCCGCGUGAGUGAAGAAGUAUUUCGGUAUGUAAAGCUCUAUCAGCAGGGAAGAUAAUGACAGUACCUGACCAAGAAGCCCCGGCUAACUACGUGCCAGCCGCCGC
rnacentral:rRNA from 1 species